CUGGCAUGAAUAGAUGAAACAAAAGAAACAUUAUUUCUUGUAAAUGGAUUAUUUUUUUUGAUCAUCCAUCAAUUCAUUUUCUUAGCCGCUUAUCCUCACAAGGGUCGCGGGAGUGCUAGAGCCUAUCCCAGCUGUCGACAGGCAUUAAGCAGGGUACACCCUGAACUGGUUACCAGCCAAUGGCAGGGCACAUCAAGACAAACAACCGCACUCACAAUCACACCUCGGGGCAAUUUAGUCUCUAAUUAAUGUUGCACAUUUUUGGGAUGUGGGAGGAAACCAGAGUGCCUAGAAAAAACCCACGCAGGCACAGGGAGAACUUGCAAACUCCACAAAGGGUGGGGCCGGGAUUGAACCCGAGUCCUCAGAACUGUGAGGCCAACGCUUUCCAGCUGAUCCACCGUGUCGUCGAUUUAUUGAUUCAACAAUUCGGUAAAAUGUUAUCAUUUCCCUCAGCACACCUAAAAAGUGCUCGCAGCACACUAAUGUUCCACCGCGCACUGGUUGGGAAUCACAGCCGUAGAAGUGAACAUGUGAAUUUUUGUUCUUCUGAAUGUGGCCUGCAAUUGACUGGCGACCAUUCCCGGGUGUACCCUGACUCUCGCUCAGGGUCGGUUACGAUAAGCUCGAGCUUACCUUCGACCUUGUCGAAGACAAGUAAUGUCGAUGACUAAUGGACAGAUGGUGCGGUAUGUAUGUGCUUUAACUUCACUUGCAAUCCAGUAUAAUGUCCUCUGAGAUUUUUUUUUCAGAGGUUCUAAAACCAGAGGAUGUAUUAUAGCUUGAAUUGAUUCCGUUACACACCACCUUGAAUGAAUUGUGUAGUGAUUACAUUCAUCAUGAUGCUGUCAGGACUUAGUUGAAAAUGUAAUGAACAAUUAAACACUAUAUAAGCUUUAAAUUCAGCUAUUUUCCAGUAAAUCCCCACUCCAUGUUGAAUACUGUUUCAUCUAACUUCAGCAAAUAUGGCUGACAUCCUGUGCUGAAAACACAAUACUUGCAAAGUCAUUGUUCAUAUUUGUGAGUGACUUGUUAAUUUAAAACAAUGGUAGAUUUUUUUCAAUAAUGCGCUUGUGACCCGCAAUGCACUCCACAAAUGUAUCCGACAUGCAGGUUCCAAUGAAAACACACAAUUUUUUCCCACAAAAUGCAAUGGUUAAGGUACUGAGGUGAGCUACUUUUGCCAUAAAACAAUUAUGAAUUUAAAAGAAUUGUACUUCUUCAAGAAGAAAAGCUCAGUUUCAUCAUUAAAAAGAACAUUUUGAAGUAACACAAAAGGAUAUAGUUGGUAAACGUGCGCUAAUCUCUUGCGCAACAUUGGGCUAAAGCAUUAAAGCGGAAGUACACACGGUGAAGAACACAUUUUCAAGGACCUAAAUCGGGACAGUGAAGAAUAUUGAAGAGCAAGACGUGAAGUGGACUGACCGUCAGCAACCCGCCCUCUACACUUCAUCCACGGGUCAGGUCGCGGGGAAAGUAGCUUCAGCAGGGAUACCCAGACUUCAACUUUGCCCAGCCACGUCUUCCAGUUCUUCCGGAGGGAUCCCAAGAUGUUCCCAGGCCAACCGAGAGACAAAAUCUCUCCAGCGAGGUUUCAGGGGGCUUCCGGUGGGACAUGCCCGGAACAGCUCACCAGAGAGGCAUCCAGGAGGCAUCCAGAUCAGAUGCCCCAACCAUCUCAUCUGGCUCCUCUCAAUGCGGAGGAGCAAUAAGCCCCUCCCAGAUGACCGAGCUUCUCACCCUGUCUCUAAGGGAGAACCCAGACACGCUGGGGAAGAAACUCAUUUCGGCCACUUUUAUCCGGCAUCUUGUUCUUUCAUGACCCACAGCUCGUGUCCAUAGAUGAGGGUAAGAACGUAGAUCGACUGGUAAACGAAUCAAGUCAAAAUCCAGAAGAAAAUGGCACCAGGCUAACUUCUGUUUGGUAGCUUGGCAAUAAGUGCCAAAUAUGGGCGGGCUAGCACCACGCCAUUGCUGUCCCUGGGGUGGGUGGUGUCUUCAUGGGAGAGUGUCAGGGGUCAGGUCCUGUGAACUUAGUGUUACAGCUUUGAUUAAGGUCAGAGUUAGUGAUGGUUUUACAGUAAGGGUCCGGAGUUAGAUGUUGGAGUUUUCGGGUAUAAGUAUAAAUUGACGUACAAUUCAUGUAAAGGUUAUGGUUGAUGGAUGGGGAAGGGUUAGGAUUAAGGUUUGUAUCAUGGUUCAGGUUUGAGUUUUUGUUAACUUUCGGGCCUUGUCUGGAUUAUGGAUCUUGUUAGGAUUCAGGUCUUUUUGGGGUGUGUUAAGGUUCACGUUACACACUGGAGGCUUGUAAAAAUGAGUUGGAACAAGUUGGAGCUGCAUAUUUUCAGAAUUUAUUUCCAAAUGUAAACUUCACUAUUCCAUGCAUACAAGUUAUGACAACAUACAUUUUUCAACAAUCUUGUUAUUUUUCAUGUUUGCAUAGGACAUGGUCACAAUAGAUCGUCUAACGUAAAAAAUAAUGCCAUAGAAAGGUACAGCAGAGCAGCUAAGACCAGCACAUUACGUAACAUGUGGUUGGAAUCCAAGGUACUGUACAGCUGUAAUACUUGUCGAGUGUAGUGAUUUUGGUUUGCUGAAAGGAAAAAAAUCGCAAAAAGGAACAAAAAUAAACGAGAAGACACCUGAAAGUUAGCAGUGAGGUCAGAUGAGAAUGUACUGGCCAUAGCUGAGUCGAGAGUUAUUUACACACUACGUAAGAGUGAUGCCGGCCCGGAGAGGGAUUGGGGGUGGGAGGGGCGCGGCACCUUGGAGUCACUACAACAGGCAACUGAUGGUGAUGGGACAGAGGAGAAACGCACACGAGGUAUCGAGAGAGCGACAUUGCACUGAGGACAAACAGGGGGGAGGCCAAAGCACACACCUUUGCUACCUCGCAACCUGCACUAAACUCCUCCUCAUAAAGGGCUGCAACAUCCAACCAAAGAAAACAAAACUACACCAGUUGCAGCAUACACACCUCUUUUAUGCUCAUUUCAAGAAAGAUCUGAGAUCCAAGAAUCAAGAAAGGUCCGUUACCAAGUCCGGCCUCUGCCGAACCGAAUUACUGCAACAUUCGUGUUUCCCUUCAUAGGCUUUGGUAACAAUUUCUCCACACCCAAGAAUCACGCCAUCCCACGAAGGAUCCCCUCUCAAAAGUCAUUAACUAAUCUUAAAUGUGUAUUUGAAAAAAGGGCAUACGCCACAUAUGUACAUGAGUCUUGAACGUUGUUCAUUUGAAUGGGCCACACGCAGGCCUCGCUCUUAAGGGCAAAUACGAGGAGAGAUUACACCCGGGAAACAAUGAGGAACGUACCUUGUGCACGACUCACAAUGUGUAAAAACUCACAGUUGGGACACAUUUGUAAGCCCCCCCCC